rnacentral:tRNA from 1 species
GUCUCUGUGGUCUAGUCGGUUAUGACGUCGGUCUCAUACUCCAGUAUGACUUCCUCUCAGAGGUGGCGAUCCGAAGGUCCGCAGUUCGAUUCUGCGUAGGGACA